GGGUUGUGAGGUUAAGCGACUAAGCGUACACGGUGGAUGCCCUGGCAGUCAGAGGCGAUGAAGGACGUGCUAAUCUGCGAUAAGCGUCGGUAAGGUGAUAUGAACCGUUAUAACCGGCGAUUUCCGAAUGGGGAAACCCAGUGUGAUUCGUCACACUAUCAUUAACUGAAUCCAUAGGUUAAUGAAGCGAACCGGGGGAACUGAAACAUCUAAGUACCCCGAGGAAAAGAAAUCAACCGAGAUUCCCCCAGUAGCGGCGAGCGAACGGGGAGCAGCCCAGAGCCUGAAUCAGUGUGUGUGUUAGUGGAAGCGUCUGGAAAGGCGCGCGAUACAGGGUGACAGCCCCGUACACAAAAAUGCACAUGCUGUGAGCUCGAUGAGUAGGGCGGGACACGUGGUAUCCUGUCUGAAUAUGGGGGGACCAUCCUCCAAGGCUAAAUACUCCUGACUGACCGAUAGUGAACCAGUACCGUGAGGGAAAGGCGAAAAGAACCCCGGCGAGGGGAGUGAAAAAGAACCUGAAACCGUGUACGUACAAGCAGUGGGAGCACAGAGCAAUCUGUGUGACUGCGUACCUUUUGUAUAAUGGGUCAGCGACUUAUAUUCUGUAGCAAGGUUAACCGAAUAGGGGAGCCGAAGGGAAACCGAGUCUUAACUGGGCGUUAAGUUGCAGGGUAUAGACCCGAAACCCGGUGAUCUAGCCAUGGGCAGGUUGAAGGUUGGGUAACACUAACUGGAGGACCGAACCGACUAAUGUUGAAAAAUUAGCGGAUGACUUGUGGCUGGGGGUGAAAGGCCAAUCAAACCGGGAGAUAGCUGGUUCUCCCCGAAAGCUAUUUAGGUAGCGCCUCGUGAAUUCAUCUCCGGGGGUAGAGCACUGUUUCGGCAAGGGGGUCAUCCCGACUUACCAACCCGAUGCAAACUGCGAAUACCGGAGAAUGUUAUCACGGGAGACACACGGCGGGUGCUAACGUCCGUCGUGAAGAGGGAAACAACCCAGACCGCCAGCUAAGGUCCCAAAGUCAUGGUUAAGUGGGAAACGAUGUGGGAAGGCCCAGACAGCCAGGAUGUUGGCUUAGAAGCAGCCAUCAUUUAAAGAAAGCGUAAUAGCUCACUGGUCGAGUCGGCCUGCGCGGAAGAUGUAACGGGGCUAAACCAUGCACCGAAGCUGCGGCAGCGACGCUGAUGCGUUGUUGGGUAGGGGAGCGUUCUGUAAGCCUGCGAAGGUGUGCUGUGAGGCAUGCUGGAGGUAUCAGAAGUGCGAAUGCUGACAUAAGUAACGAUAAAGCGGGUGAAAAGCCCGCUCGCCGGAAGACCAAGGGUUCCUGUCCAACGUUAAUCGGGGCAGGGUGAGUCGACCCCUAAGGCGAGGCCGAAAGGCGUAGUCGAUGGGAAACAGGUUAAUAUUCCUGUACUUGGUGUUACUGCGAAGGGGGGACGGAGAAGGCUAUGUUGGCCGGGCGACGGUUGUCCCGGUUUAAGCGUGUAGGCUGGUUUUCCAGGCAAAUCCGGAAAAUCAAGGCUGAGGCGUGAUGACGAGGCACUACGGUGCUGAAGCAACAAAUGCCCUGCUUCCAGGAAAAGCCUCUAAGCAUCAGGUAACAUCAAAUCGUACCCCAAACCGACACAGGUGGUCAGGUAGAGAAUACCAAGGCGCUUGAGAGAACUCGGGUGAAGGAACUAGGCAAAAUGGUGCCGUAACUUCGGGAGAAGGCACGCUGAUAUGUAGGUGAAGCGACUUGCUCGUGGAGCUGAAAUCAGUCGAAGAUACCAGCUGGCUGCAACUGUUUAUUAAAAACACAGCACUGUGCAAACACGAAAGUGGACGUAUACGGUGUGACGCCUGCCCGGUGCCGGAAGGUUAAUUGAUGGGGUCAGCGCAAGCGAAGCUCUUGAUCGAAGCCCCGGUAAACGGCGGCCGUAACUAUAACGGUCCUAAGGUAGCGAAAUUCCUUGUCGGGUAAGUUCCGACCUGCACGAAUGGCGUAAUGAUGGCCAGGCUGUCUCCACCCGAGACUCAGUGAAAUUGAACUCGCUGUGAAGAUGCAGUGUACCCGCGGCAAGACGGAAAGACCCCGUGAACCUUUACUAUAGCUUGACACUGAACAUUGAGCCUUGAUGUGUAGGAUAGGUGGGAGGCUUUGAAGUGUGGACGCCAGUCUGCAUGGAGCCGACCUUGAAAUACCACCCUUUAAUGUUUGAUGUUCUAACGUUGACCCGUGAUCCGGGUUGCGGACAGUGUCUGGUGGGUAGUUUGACUGGGGCGGUCUCCUCCUAAAGAGUAACGGAGGAGCACGAAGGUUGGCUAAUCCUGGUCGGACAUCAGGAGGUUAGUGCAAUGGCAUAAGCCAGCUUGACUGCGAGCGUGACGGCGCGAGCAGGUGCGAAAGCAGGUCAUAGUGAUCCGGUGGUUCUGAAUGGAAGGGCCAUCGCUCAACGGAUAAAAGGUACUCCGGGGAUAACAGGCUGAUACCGCCCAAGAGUUCAUAUCGACGGCGGUGUUUGGCACCUCGAUGUCGGCUCAUCACAUCCUGGGGCUGAAGUAGGUCCCAAGGGUAUGGCUGUUCGCCAUUUAAAGUGGUACGCGAGCUGGGUUUAGAACGUCGUGAGACAGUUCGGUCCCUAUCUGCCGUGGGCGCUGGAGAAUUGAGGGGGGCUGCUCCUAGUACGAGAGGACCGGAGUGGACGCAUCACUGGUGUUCGGGUUGUCAUGCCAAUGGCACUGCCCGGUAGCUAAAUGCGGAAGAGAUAAGUGCUGAAAGCAUCUAAGCACGAAACUUGCCCCGAGAUGAGUUCUCCCUGACUCCUUGAGAGUCCUGAAGGAACGUUGAAGACGACGACGUUGAUAGGCCGGGUGUGUAAGCGCAGCGAUGCGUUGAGCUAACCGGUACUAAUGAACCGUGAGGCUUAACCUUACAACGCCGAAG
rnacentral:rRNA from 1 species